rnacentral:rRNA from 1 species
AGCGCAGACGGUUGAUUAAGUCUGAUGUGAAAGCCCGGAGCUCAACUCCGGAAUGGCAUUGGAAACUGGUUAACUUGAGUGCAGUAGAGGUAAGCGGAACUCCAUGUGUAGCGGUGGAAUGCGUAGAUAUAUGGAAGAACACCAGUGGCGAAGGCGGCUUACUGGACUGUAACUGACGUUGAGGCUCGAAAGUGUGGGUAGCAAAUA